AAUCAACGCUGGCGGCGUGCCUCAGACAUGCAAGUCGAACGGUUAAAGCUCUCUUCGGAGAGUGUAUAGAGUGGCGCACGGGUGAGUAACACGUAAGUAAUCUACCUUUGAGUGGGGAAUAACAGUCGGAAACGACUGCUAAUACCGCAUAAUGCAGCGGCACCGCAAGGUGACAGUUGUUAAAGGAGCAAUUCGCUUAAAGAGGAGCUUGCGGCAGAUUAGCUGUUGGUAAGGUAACGGCUUACCAAGGCUACGAUCUGUAUCCGGUCUUAGAGGACGGUCGGACACACUGACACUGAAUAACGGGUCAGACUCCUACGGGAGGCAGCAGUCGGGAAUUUUGGGCAAUGGGCGAAAGCCUGACCCAGCAACGCCGCGUGAAGGAUGAAGUAUUUCGGUAUGUAAACUUCGAAAGAAUAGGAAGAAUAAAUGACGGUACUAUUUAUAAGGUCCGGCUAACUACGUGCCAGCAGCCGCCGUAAG
rnacentral:rRNA from 1 species